UACGUAGGGGGCGAGCGUUGUCCGGAUUUAUUGGGCGUAAAGAGCGUGUAGGCGGCCAGGUAGGUCUGCUGUGAAAACUCAAGGCUCAACCUCGAGACGUCGGCGGAAACCAUCUGGCUAGAGUCCGGAAGAGGAGAGUGGAAUUCCUGGUGUAGCGGUGAAAUGCGCAGAUAUCAGGAAGAACACCCGUGGCGAAGGCGGCUCUCUGGGACGGUACUGACGCUGAGACGCGAAAGCGUGGGGAGCGAACAGG
rnacentral:rRNA from 1 species